GGCUUAUUUCAUUUUUAUCUGCUUAUUUCAUUCAUACAUUGUUACUAAAUUCAAAAAAGUUGUCUUGGCACCAAACUACGAAAACAUAUUUGAGAUCAAUCAUCCCAGUCAAAAAAUCUUGGAGCAUAAUCGUGCAAAUUUUAUAAACCGUGACACAACCUUUUUCAUUGGAUAUGGUUGUGCUGCAUAUGAAUCCCCAUGUAAACAAUAGAAAACAUGUUUUAUGCGGAUAAUUGAUUCUAUUUAUCGGUGCAUCAUAUCCACUUGGGCUUUAUUUGCGAGUUUGGAGGAGGAGAAGAGAGGGAGAGUUUAGA
rnacentral:lncRNA from 1 species